GGGGAAUAUUGGACAAUGGGCGAAAGCCUGAUCCAGCAAUGCCGCGUGAGUGAUGAAGGCCUUAGGGUUGUAAAGCUCUUUUACCCGGGAUGAUAAUGACAGUACCGGGAGAAUAAGCCCCGGCUAACUCCGUGCCAGCAGCCGCGGUAAUACGGAGGGUGCGAGCGUUGUCCGGAAUCAUUGGGCGUAAAGCGCACGUAGGCGGUCCGUUAAGUCUCAUAGGUGAAAGGCUGGGGCUCAACCCCAUGCAUGCCGGGGAUACUGGCGGACUGGAGACAGGUAGAGGCGAGCGGAAUUCCGGGUGUAGCGGUGGAAUGCGUAGAGAUCCGGAAGAACACCGGAGGCGAAGGCGGCUCGCUGGACCUGAUCUGACGCUGAGGUGCGAAAGCGUGGGGAGCGAA
rnacentral:rRNA from 1 species